rnacentral:lncRNA from 10 species
AGAGUUUUAGAGAAAUAUAAAGCUGGCAGGUCUCACAUUCAUGGCUGCCACUCUGAUUCUUGCUACCCGCUAAAGUAACUGCACUUACCUUGAUUGUGAUAUUUAAACAAUACAACCCAGAUUCUGUAACUCUGAGACUCUACCUUCACAAGUGGGGACACCUUUCUUCUCCUACAUCUUGUACAACAGAACUCCAAGUUCUCUGGCCUUUGGACUCUGGAAUUUGCACCAGCUCUUCCCCAAGGUUCUCCUGCCUUUGGCCUCAGCCUGCGAGUUACAUCAUUAGCUUCACUGAUUCUGAUACUUUAAGAGUUGGACUGAGCAACGUUACAAGUUUCACUGUUUAGGAGAGAAAUGUGAUUGGAGGAGGACAUAUGGAAGGCUUGAAAUGAACAGAUAGUUUCUCUCUUUAAGCUGGGCACGUAAGAUGGGGACGUACAAUAUUCCCUAGGCUGGCUUCAAGCCCCUGGGCUCAAGCCUUUCAAGCCUCCCAAGUAGCUGGGACUACAGAUGAGUGCCACUCUGCCAAGCUAAGGAAUAUUUUCUUAAUACCACCUUGUAUAAUUUAAUUCCACAGUUAUGCAAACAUAUACUAAACUUGCUUCCCCAAAAAUCAGUAAAAUGAAGAGAACCUAAGAUUAAUUACAGGAGCAGUGACCAUUAGUCUUAAAGAAGUUAGAUAGCACAUGACAAUGGUCAGGUGUGCCAAAUGCAGAAAUGCAGGUAUGGAGAUUUCUGGGAGUCUAACUGAUUACAUUAGGAUUACAUUAGCAUUUAUCUUACUAGAUAGCGGCAGUAGUCUUUAGGGACAUCCAUGUAUUUUCAGAUAAAGCAUAUAACAUACAGAACAGAGGUCAAAGCUUACUCAGUUGCAAAGCCAUCAAGGGUGGAAAACAAGGACAAAGUGAGUUCAUGAAAUAGGCCUGAUUGGAUUGGGCCAAGGAUAGAUAUCCUUUUCUUUUCUUACCCUCUAGCUUCUGUUACUCGGCAGGAUCUUAAUACACUGGUUUCUUCCAGUUGGCUCAAUGCAGCAAGUGAACUCACAGUGUAAGGGGUUAAUAGUGAGUGUGAAUAAGGAAACACUGAGGCAGAAAUGAACUCAUUGCAUAUCUGAUCAUAUGCAAGUACCAAUGCAGAGAUGAUCAAAGUUGUCAUAACACUAAAAAUAUUUCCUAGGGACUGGACUAUGUAUUAAAUAAAUCCCUUCUCAAUCAUGUCUCCUCCCUUUUAAUGAUGAAAUCUACCUUUGCUUUCCAAAUAACUUGUAUUGCUCCAUUCUCUCAUUGAUUUGAAGAAACUGCAGAAAUGUGCAGUGGAGAAAGUAUACUAAUAAAAAAUAGCUGCACAG